UACGUAGGGGGCAAGCGUUGUCCGGAAUCAUUGGGCGUAAAGCGCGCGUAGGCGGCCCUGUAAGUCCGUUGUGAAAGUCGAAGGCUCAACCUUCGAAAGCCGAUGGAUACUGCAGGGCUAGAGUCCGGAAGAGGCGAGUGGAAUUCCUGGUGUAGCGGUGAAAUGCGCAGAUAUCAGGAGGAACACCAAUUGCGAAGGCAGCUCGCUGGGACGUUACUGACGCUGAGGAGCGAAGGCGUGG
rnacentral:rRNA from 1 species